rnacentral:rRNA from 1 species
AGCAGCCGCGGUAAUUCCAGCUCCAAUAGCGUAUAUUAAAGUUGUUGCAGUUAAAAAGCUCGUAGUUGAAUUUCGAGAUCAAUUUGUCGGUCGUGCCUCGGUACGUACUGGCAUUAUUGAUUUCUCCCUUCUGAAGAACCGCGAUGUCAUUAAUUUGGUGUCGUGGGGAAUCAGGACUGUUACUUUGAAAAAAAUUAGAGUGUUUAAAGCAGGCUUACGCUUGAAUACAUUAGCAUGGAAUAAUGAAAUAGGACGUUUGAUUCUAUUUUGUUGGUUUCUAGGAUCGACGUAAUGAUUAAUAGGGAUAGUUGGGGGCAUUAGUAUUCAAUUGUCAGAGGUGAAAUUCUUGGAUUUAUUGAAGACUAACUACUGCGAAAGCAUUUGCCAAGGAUGUUUUCAUUAAUCAAGAACGAAAGUUAGGGGAUCGAAGACGAUCAGAUACCGUCGUAGUCUUAACCAUAAAACUAUGCCGACUAGGGAUCGGGAUGAUGUUAAUUUUUUAAUGUACUCAUUCGGCGCC